rnacentral:rRNA from 1 species
CCUACGGGGGGCUGCAGUGGGGAAUAUUGGACAAUGGGGGGAACCCUGAUCCAGCCAUGCCGCGUGUGUGAAGAAGGCCCUCGGGUUGUAAAGCACUUUCAGUGAGGAAGAACGCCUGGUGGUUAAUACCCAUCAGGAAAGACAUCACUCACAGAAGAAGCACCGGCUAACUCCGUGCCAGCAGCCGCGGUAAUACGGAGGGUGCGAGCGUUAAUCGGAAUUACUGGGCGUAAAGCGCGCGUAGGUGGCUUGAUAAGCCGGUUGUGAAAGCCCCGGGCUCAACCUGGGAACGGCAUCCGGAACUGUCAAGCUAGAGUGCAGGAGAGGAAGGUAGAAUUCUCGGUGUAGCGGUGAAAUGCGUAGAGAUCGGGAGGAAUACCAGUGGCGAAGGCGGCCUUCUGGACUGACACUGACACUGAGGUGCGAAAGCGUGGGUAGCAAACAGGAUUAGAUACCCCUGUAGUC